rnacentral:rRNA from 1 species
UACGUAGGGUGCGAGCGUUAAUCGGAAUUACUGGGCGUAAAGCGUGCGCAGGCGGUUCGUUAUGUCCGAUGUGAAAGCCCCGAGCUCAACUUGGGAAUGGCAUUGGAAACUGGCGGGCUGGAGUGUGGCAGAGGGGGGUGGAAUUCCACGUGUAGCAGUGAAAUGCGUAGAGAUGUGGAGGAGCACCGAUGGCGAAGGCAGCCCCCUGGGCCAACACUGACGCUCAGGCACGAAAGCGUGGGGAGCAAACAGG